rnacentral:lncRNA from 1 species
GUGUAAGAUUUGAAGCGGUUUGGUUUCCGUGAAGAGAGGCUAUCUCAGCUGGGAGCUGGGGACAUGCGCACUCUCCGGGCUAGGGUGAGAUGAGUGUCAUGGAAUGUGGAAGACAGUGCCAAUGUGCAUACCAUACACAGAAGUGUAUGCGUUUAUUCCUGUCAAAAUUAUCAAUAUGUUCUUGCCUUUAAUUUCAUCCUCAAUUUCAGCACUCAAGUACUCCUCAUGCUGUCAUUAUGUCGUCAUAAAUGCCCUGAAUAGCAAGUUUAGAGAGAUAAAAUUCUAACUUCUCUUAAAGAAACAAUGUCCAAAUAUCCUUUCAUUUGCGUUGAUUCACAUGAAAUGACUUCAAGUGUGGAAUGUGUACAUUAUCCCUACAUUCACCACUUCCACAAUGUGAAGACACAGCAAGAAGACAGCCGUAUAUGAACCAGGACGCCAGACACCAAACCCGCAGGUGCCUUGAUCUUGCACUUCCCAGCCUGCAGAACUAUGAGAAAGAAAUGUUUGUUAAGUCAAAAAAAAAAGAAAGUGGGGACUUCGUUGCCAUCCUGGGACACAAAACCUGCGGUGCUGUCAAACCUGACUUCAAAGCAAUUCCUGGUCUGUCUUACGCUGGAAUAAAGUAUGAUCAAGCUAGAUCCCAAAGGAGGUCCAGGAAGCACAGCGAGGAGAACUUUUUGCUGAAUUAUAAAUAUAUUGAAGUGGAACAACGGACGCUUCUCUUGCAUCCCGCGGGGCCAGUUAGCACCUGAGCCGCCAGGCUGCAGCCUCGGCUGGAGGCCGAGAGCCCCCUCCCACGGACACAAAUUGAUGGCUCUUUGAUGCACAAGAAAAAGAGCAUACUUAAUAUUUCUCUUUCUUUCCUGUCAUUUCAGCUACCCAAACGUCACAAUAAAUGUCACACUUGGAAAUUCAUCUGGAAAGAACCCCAAAUGAUUACUGCACCAGUGCACAUAAGGGUGGUAAAUGCACAAAGCAGGACACUUGAGCCCAAACAGAAAAUGGAAAUGGCGCUGAAGCGACUACUGGGCAGGAGAAAAAAGCAGAGGCAGACUGAUCAGAAGAAGGGCCAGUGCAGAGAAGGGCCUGGACACCCCACCCAGGGAUGGGUCUUUCCUCUGUGGGGCAGAGGCCUUGGUUUGGGAUGAGUCGAUGUGUCAGAGGGAGGGCGAAGACCCACGUGCCGACGGCCGGAUGGUGGGCUUCGCGAGAGCCUGGGUUCCAGCUCCUCUGCCCCCACAGGCUGGCUGAGCGACCUUGAGAGAGUUUCUGAAAUUCUCCAAGCCCUGGCAUUCUACCUGGAGAGUGGGGGUGCUGACAUUAUCGACAUACUGUCUGUCGGUGUUGUUGUGAGGGGUCAGUAAGACAGCAGAGAAAGCACUGAAGAGUGAGGUCUCCAUAAACGUUAUGAUUACUAUGCCAUGACUUGCCCGCGGUGCUUUCCAGGUAGACUAUGGAUUGGUAAGUGCUAUUAUUACCUUUUCUCCUUGGGGCAGGGACACAAUUGCCUCCUCAAAAUUCUUCCUUCUUUCUUAGCAUCAGAACCACAGUUUUGUCUAGGACAGCGAUGUGUCUGCGUCUCCAGCUUCCACGGAUGCGGAGAAGGGUUGCUAUGAUUUAUGUGGAAAACAUUGGCUGGCCUUCAAGGAAAGCUGGCUCUGCCUUGGGGGGUGUGCUGUGGAAGGUAGACACGAUGGCUGAAGCUUCUGUAGCUCUUUUGGAACCAUAAGGGAAGGAGAGAAGUUACAAGAAUCUAGAAUCCCGGAGAUCUCAGCCCGGAAAGUCUCGAGGCUCUCAAGCAAUGCCGACCACCUUCUACCUCCAAACUCACUUUCUUGAGGGACACAGGCCUUUAGGUCCCCAUUCCUUUGAGUUUGUUGUUGUUAUCUGUUACCAGACCAAAUUGUAACUUCCGUAUAUCACAUGAUGCAAAAUCCCUGAAAAAUAACCACGGCUUCAUCAUUCAAGGUAACAUUAUGGGAAAGUCUCAGUGUGGGAGGUAAACUGAGCAACUUGUUUUUGAAACAAACGGAAAACUUAACAGACUGAGAACCAACGUCCGGGUGUUGCUGUGAGGAUGGAACGAGAAGCAAGUGCACGCGCAGACCUCCUGAUAUGGUCCCAGGUGGUGAGGACGGUUCAUGGCAGCUCACCUUGAGUCCUCUCACCAAGGGAGACAGGCUGGAGAAAACCCGGCCUUGUCCUCAGAGGAGACACCAGGGACAGUCAUUUUCAUAGCUCACCAGCUGGAUUAUUAUUAUUAUUUUCCUGACCCCGUUGAGUGACAAACUCUCUACUCAGGAGGGUUUUGGCCCAGAAGCGGUUGGGAAGGCCGGGCCGGGAGAGUCAAUGGGCCUGGGGAGGCUGGACGCACGCAGGAGCAGCUUCUACUAGGAGAGAGGGCUGGACGGCAGCUGGUACCCUCUGAUGCCAUGUUUCCGGGAUGUGAGAGACAUCCUAGUUUGUACCCGAUCUGAGUUCUGAACCAAUUGUGUCCUUGCUCGGUGUCCGGGCAGGAAGUCCCCUUAGACAGGUGUGGCUGUGCCCCGUCCUGCGAGCUCAGCUCGGCGUCUCCUGAUUCUCCACCCAGAUCUGCUGGUGAAACGACCCGGCUUCACAGUGAGGGACAGGAGUGAAUUCAGCGGCUCGGUGUGAAGGUUUUGAGUGGUGGGAACAUCUAAAAGGACCUUCACCUCAAACUGAGGGGAUCAGUGAGACCACGGGUGCCUGAAACUUUCGGACGAAUGCCACUGCCAGAAACCCUGAGAGAAGUCAGAGUUUGCGUGCCAAGGAGAACUUUUUUUUUUUUUUGAGGAAGAUUAACCCUGAGCUAACAUCUGCCACCAAUUCUCCUCUUUUUGCUGAGGAAGACUGGCCCUAACCUAACAUCUGUGCCCAUCUUCCUCUAGUUUAUAUGUGGGACGCCUACCACAGCAUGGCUUGCCAAGCGAUGUCAUGUCUGCACCUGGGAUCCAAAUCAGUGAACCCUGGGCCACUGAAGCGAAAUGUGCGAACUUAACCACUUCACCACUGGGCGGCCCCAAGGAGAAAUUUUUUAUCGCUUCAGUCUGUUGUAGCAUCACACUCUUUUAAGUUAAGCCAUAAAGGAGCAAUAAAAUGUCAGAGACCAUUCCCAGGCAACACACACUUAUCUCAUCUUAAGUUUAUUCUCACUGGUCUUAGGAGACAAGCUUCUCUGACAAUUGUUGGCAGUGUCCUGAGCAUCUUAUUGUGCAGCCACAGUGUCCAAGAUGAUGCCUCCCAGCCUUCUGUCCUGCUGAUCCACACUGUGACCUAGUUUAAGUGGGAGAGACAUUUGCAGGCAGCCAUUCAAG